CUAGGAGGAAUUUGUUAAACCUUUUUACUAAAACAUGCCUUUAGAUGUGUUGAGGUUGUUCUAUGAAUUUUUGCUUCUUUUUUGGAUUACUUGUUUGUUUCUUAUAAUUGGCUUGUUUUUGUUUGCUGGCUUUGGUUUCUAAAGAGUGCAGAGAUGGGAUUCCCUCUGCCUCCAGUGACGUAGUGGAUUUUGUUUGCAGUCUUUUUCUUCUGAGAGGGAGGGGACGGAGAGAAGGAAGAAGAAAAAUCCAUCUGAAGUGGAGUCCAUAGAGGCAACUGAAUUCUGUUGAAGAACAUGUCUAACAGUAACACUACUCAAGAGACUCUGGAAAUAAUGAAAGAAUCAGAAAAAAAAUUGGUGGAAGAAUCUGUAAACAAAAACAAGUUUAUAUCUAAGACUCCAAGUAAGGAAGAAAUUGAGAAAGAGGGUGAAGAUACCAUUUUGCGUCCAGAGACACAGAGCAGGUGGAGCUGCUGCUGCCAUCUACUGGAGCUCCUGUUCCUUUUGCAAAGUCUUCAGUCUUGUUGGCCACCCUGGAUCCUAUGGAGCAGUCUCUUAGAAAGCCCUCUCCCCUCUACAAUUUCCCAACAGAUCGUGUGCCUCUUCUAAAAGUUCUCCUUCUCCUGCCUUUCCCCCACUCAUACCCCAGAAGUCUCAGUAAGAAUCUAACUGGUUCACUCAAGGGAGUCCUUGAAUUGGAGUUGAAAAGUUUGGGGGAAAGGGGAUUUUCAUUACUUGUACUGUGUGGGAUGUAUUUUUGGGAUCAGCUGUUGAAACUCAGGACAUCUUUUGCGUGGAAACAGUGCUACAGAGUUCAGGUUCUGAGAUUCUGUUUAGAAUGGGCAAGCCCUCACUUAACCCUUACUGAACUAGGUGUGUCUUUUAAAUGACCAACUGGGUAUGGCCUCCUAAUUGGACUUUCUGCCUUUAAAUUUGUAAUCCCUUCUGAUUCAUCUUCCAUACUGUUUUAGAAACAUGUUUGCAAAAUAAAGAACUGAUUGUUUUAA